rnacentral:tRNA from 1 species
AGGGAUGUAGCUCAGUGGUAGAGCACUUGCAUAGCACACAUGAAGCCCUGGAUUCAAUCCCCAGCACUGCAA